UCACCCCCUGUGAGUGGCACAUACCCAGCCAAUGACUGACUGGAUCACCCCAGGAAUGUUGUACUCCUGCAGGCGAAACAGGUCCGAGGGCUCACAGUCCACAGUGAAGCUGUUGGUGUCAUUGUUGUACUCCACAGGGCAGACAAAGCAUCUGUACCCGGACAUCACAUAGGACAGCUGAGGAGGAAUAACAGAGAGACCGGCAAGGAGGUUGUGGAUAACAAGAUGUGACUGUGUUACAACAAUCAGCAAUGUCACAUGGGUCCAGCCAAACUGCAAAAAAAAGAAAAAUAAACACUACUUACCAGUUUACCUUGAAAGUAACUUCAAAGAACAAUCA
rnacentral:lncRNA from 1 species